rnacentral:rRNA from 1 species
AUGGUGGAUGCCUUGGGUCUGAGAGGCGAUGAAGGACGUGGUAAGCUGCGAUAAGCUAUGGAAAGCUGCACACGAGCAUUAUAUCCAUAGAUUUCCGAAUGAGACAACUCACUAUAUUGAAGAUAUAGUACUCGAAAGAGAGCCAACGCGGAGAACUGAAACAUCUAAGUACCCGCAGGAAAAGAAAAUAAUAAUGAUUCCCUGAGUAGUGGCGAGCGAAAUGGGAAGAGCCUAAACUUAUAGAGCGUGCUCUGUAAGGGUUGUAGGACUGCAUUUAGAAGCUGUUAUCAAGUUGAAUCUUCUGGAAAGUUGAACAAUACAAGGUGAUAGUCCUGUAGACACAAAUUAACAGUAACGAGCAGUAUCCUGAGUAGUGCGGGACCGGAGAAAUCCUGCAUGAAUCUGCCAGCACCAUCUGGUAAGGCUAAAUACUCCUCAGACACCGAUAGUGAACCAGUACCGUAAGGGAAAGGUGAAAAGCACCCCGAAUAGGGGAGUGAAAUAGUACCUGAAACCGUACGCCUACAA